rnacentral:rRNA from 1 species
AGGACGAACGCUGGCGGCGUGCCUAACACAUGCAAGUGGAGCGACGAACCAGGCUUCGGCCUGGGGCAGAGCCGCGAACGGGUGAGUAACACGUGGGUAACCUGCCCUGAUGAUUGGGACAACCCGAGGAAACUCGGGCUAAUACCGGAUGUGCCCGCAAGGGGAAAGGAAGCUUCGGCCUCCGCAUCAAGAUGGGCCCGCGGCCCAUUAGCUAGUUGGUGAGGUAACGGCUCACCAAGGCUUCGAUGGGUAGCUGGUCUGAGAGGACGAUCAGCCACACUGGGACUGAGACACGGCCCAGACUCCUACGGGAGGCAGCAGUGGGGAAUAUUGCGCAAUGGGCGAAAGCCUGACGCAGCGACGCCGCGUGGGGGAUGAAGGCCUUCGGUUGUAACCCUUCAGCAGGACGAAGCGAAAGUGACGGUACCUGCAGAAGAAGCGCCGGCUAACUACGUGCCAGCAGCCGC